AAAUAUUGCGGGAUUAAAUAUCACCUUCUUUUUGGCCUGAUACUGUAACCUGGGUAAUGGGAGGUAACAGAAACAUCUCGAGUUCGCAAAAUGUCACAAUUAAGUUCAUUGAACGGGAUGGAAAUUCUGACAUUCAAAUCAGGAACGGUGGCAGGCAGGCCAUCCGUGGCCCGGCGCGCCGCAGCACUCUUUAAGUUGUAACAAGGUAGCCGUAGGGGAACCUGCGGCUGGAUCACCUCCUUAAUCGAAGAUCUCAGCUUCUUCAUAAGCUCCCACCCGAAUUGCUUGAUUCACUGGUUAGACGAUUGGGUCUGUAGCUCAGUUGGUUAGAGCGCACCCCUGAUAAGGGUGAGGUCGGCAGUUUGAAUUUGCCCAGACCCCCCAAUUGUUGGUGUGCUGCGUGAUCCGAUACGGGGCCAUAGCUCAGCUGGGAGAGCGCCUGCUUUGCACGCAGGAGGUCAGGAGUUCGAUCCUCCUUGGCUCCCCCAUCUAAAACAAUCGUCGAAAGCUCAGAAAUGAAUGUUCGUGAAUGAACAUUGAUUUCUGGUCUUUGCACCAGAACUGUUCUUUAAAAAUUCGGGUAUGUGAUAGAAGUAAGACUGAAUGAUCUCUUUCACUGGUGAUCAUUCAAGUCAAGGUAAAAUUUGCGAGUUCAAGCGCGAAUUUUCGGCGAAUGUCGUCUUCACAGUAUAACCAGAUGCUGGGUAAUGACCG
rnacentral:misc_RNA from 1 species